UACGUAGGGUGCAAGCGUUAAUCGGAAUUACUGGGCGUAAAGCGUGCGCAGGCGGUUGUGUAAGACAGAUGUGAAAUCCCCGGGCUCAACCUGGGAACUGCAUUUGUGACUGCACAGCUGGAGUGCGGCAGAGGGGGAUGGAAUUCCGGCGUGUAGCAGUGAAAUGCGUAGAUAUGCGGAGGAACACCGAUGGCGAAGGCAAUCCCCUGGGCCUGCACUGACGCUCAUGCACGAAAGCGUGGGGAGCAAACAGG
rnacentral:rRNA from 1 species